rnacentral:rRNA from 1 species
GACGAACGCUGGCGGCGUGCCUAAUACAUGCAGUCGAACGCUGAAGAGAGGAGCUUGCUCUUCUUGGAUGAGUUGCGAACGGGUGAGUAACGCGUAGGUAACCUGCCUUGUAGCGGGGGAUAACUAUUGGAAACGAUAGCUAAUACCGCAUAACAAUGGAUGACCCAUGUCAUUUAUUUGAAAGGGGCAAAUGCUCCACUACAAGAUGGACCUGCGUUGUAUUAGCUAGUAGGUGAGGUAACGGCUCACCUAGGCGACGAUACAUAGCCGACCUGAGAGGGUGAUCGGCCACACUGGGACUGAGACACGGCCCAGACUCCUACGGGAGGCAGCAGUAGGGAAUCUUCGGCAAUGGGGGCAACCCUGACCGAGCAACGCCGCGUGAGUGAAGAAGGUUUUCGGAUCGUAAAGCUCUGUUGUAAGUCAAGAACGAGUGUGAGAGUGGAAAGUUCACACUGUGACGGUAGCUUACCAGAAAGGGACGGCUAACUACGUG